CACAGAUUAUCGCACCCAAUUGCCUAUCAAAAUACACACGGAAACGGGCAAAGUCCUGGCAUGAAACAUUUCGUCGAUACUUUGACAUAAAACACGAUCGAGUAUAAUAAAAAUAUAAGAAAAGGAAAGAGCCCGCUAAACUAAUUUUCCCAACACACACAAAACAAAAAGAAAUAUGCCACAAACUGAGUAACAAGUGCGUGUGAACUCGGAAAAAAUAUACAAAAGCAAAUAAGCAGACCAUACAGAGAAAAUAUUCUCAGCAGCGCAAAAAUGCAGCGCAAGGAUCAGCAAGGAUCGGGGCACACUAAUCGUUUAUUAUGAUCAACGAGCUGAAUCAAUAAAACGAAAAGAAACCAAGCCAAGCCCAGCCAAACGAAACGAAACGAAAUGAAAUGAAAAACGAAGCGCCUACUUCAGACGUGUCCUCCGACGGAGGUGCAGGAACCUGUUCGGAGGCUGAGGGUUGGAUGUCCUUUUGUGUGCGUUGGAGUGUUACCGUUUCGGCCGUGAGAAACGGCAGCGGGGUAACGAUAACAGGUACACGCUACAGGUACGCUGACGUGUAUGCAAAAGUCAAAAUAUGCAUGGGAAUUCGUUAUUUUGGAGUUGCCCUGGGAAAGUGUUCACUAUCGAGGACUUAACGGAGUGCUGGGAACAGCAUAGCAUAGGCAGGACAGCAAAAAUUAUGUGGGCGGUGUCAAUGAAGACUCAUACAACAAAGGAAGAGGACAAACCAAUUCAAGACAAACAAAACAGAAAUGUUCGUUGGCUCGAUUCACGGUUUGAACUUGGUUUGAAUUGAAUUUGAAUUUGGUUUGACCAACGAUUAUUUGUAUUCUCUUUAAUUAUAAAGCAAACUCCGUGUCAAAGUAUUUCUAUAUGUCGACUCAGAUGGCCGUUGGCCAGAUCACGAAGUUGGCCCCUAUAUCGGAUAUUAAAUUUUUGUGUGCGACGAAAAUUUGCGUGAUAAUCAUCUAAUAUCUUCUGCAUGAGAAUAAUAAAUUAUAAGUUAUCUACUCGCAUAGGGGCUAAUACAUUGAAGGAAUAUCCUUGACCACCCUAAGGCAAGAUCUUGACAUUUUGCGUUCUCAGGAGGAUGAACUGUGUCGCCUCAAUGCAAGCCAGUCUUCCAGUCUGCGCAUCCCAACCAGCACGACAACCACGCCUACAGCUGCUCAGCUAUGCCCAAGAAAAAAGACACAGCUAUAACAAUAAAAUAUGUGAACUUCCUUCCGGUAAGCGGAACUGCACCAGUCGCUGGCAAAAGGGAUAUUAUUGGUAUUCGCAGCGCUGAGACAAUGUGUAGAAAUCUAAAUUGCAAAAUAUGGAACACUGGUCGCAUACACAGACGCAGACCCAGAGCUGGCUGUGGGAACCCAGGACGGCGGGGAACUGCUGCUUAGGCUGUUUCCAAUUUGAUGUGGGCCCACCCUCGCGCCGAUAGCAUCGUCAGUGCUGAGAAAAUCUUGUUUGUUGUGGCUGAGCCAGAAAUCUCAAAGAUUUCAUCGUUCUCUUUCUAAAUGAAUGUUUCUUUUCUUUUUGUCCCGCUCAUUGUUAUUUGCGAGCCGCAACAAUAUUUGUAUACAGAAACAGGUUAACAGGUAUUUAGACUAAGGAUCAGUCAGGAUUAGAGUGGCAAGCGUGUGAUGUGCCGGAUAAAUAUAGACAGCACAUCAACCAAGCUCAAGUGGGUGGUCGCCAAGAAACCCUAAAGAGGUUCUCUCAAGCAAGGUCAGCUCCAUUAAAUGGAGUUGAACAAGGAAAAGCCAUUCGAAAGACUAUUACGAAUGUUGUCAACUGCCCCAUAAAUUAGUUAAAGUGGCUCUCAUCUAAACCUGUUUAGAAGCUCAUUGGCAAUGCAGCGUGCUCCACACACUGAGCAGGCAAUUAAGCAAGAGGACGCAGGAUAUGAGCGGGGCGUGUCGGGCAAUGCAAUGGUAAUUUGAUAUGCGCGCACUUCUGGAGCGCGUUUCUCACAGCGGCCAAACGGCAGCUAAGUGCCUGACGACAGGUAGUCCUGGCGCUGUUGUCCUGCGAGCUCCUACGUGUUGCCUCCUUCAACAUCUCAUUGGCGCAACAAAUCGCAACGUAAACGCAAGCAAACAAAACUGAUGAUCGAUCGAUGCAUUCUUUGUCCGUAUUCGAGGCAUCCUGUGGCGUUGGCGGCAUCGGUUCUAAGGAGCGUUAAUUAGAUUUACGCUGCACUCGAGCGGUGCCCAUCAAAGUGCUGGUCAGGACUCUCGAUUUGGUUGAAAUCACACGCAUAAUCACACAGAUCGACAGAUACACCUGUGUGAAAGGACCUCACGCAGUAAAGCAGGACUUGCCCAUGGGCUGCCGCCGUUCCAAUCGCUGACCUUUCCGUUUCCCAUUCCCAUUCCUUUCAUCAUUCCCAUUCCCAUUCCCAUUGGCUAUUGGCUAUUGUUAUUCGCAUUUCCUCUUAUUAAUUUGAAGUGCCCGCACUUCAUGCAACUGUUGCGCAUCGCUUCCUUCAGUCGGUGCCUCGGUGUCCUGCCUCGUUUGCUUCCUGCCCACAAUGCUGUCCUGCUUUUGCACUUCCUGUGGGUCAGCCCGAUUGUUGGCCAAAACAUUCUAUUGUCCAUUAAUUGUGCCGAUUAUUUACCCGCUGCGGGUGAUGGACAGAAGCGGAAGUGAAUUUGAUGGGAUUGACUGUAAGGUGUAUUAUAGAAAUAAACUUCACAUGAAACGCAUGUGGCUUUAUCAG